rfam:Gossypium hirsutum cultivar TM-1 chromosome 12, whole genome shotgun sequence
AACCCAUGGUGAGGGCACCUUUUCUAAAGGUCCUUGUAUCUCUCCCAUGCAUCAUAGAGUGUUUUUAAAUCCAUCUGCAUAAAAGAAGAGAUAUCUUUACGUAAUUU